AUGCCACAGCUCACGGCAAUGCGGAUCCCUGACCCACUGAGUGAGGCCAGUGGUGGAACCUGCAUCUUCAUGGAUACUAGUCAGAUUUGUUUUUGCUGUGCCACAAUAGGAACUCCAAUAAUACCAUCUGAGCCUAAGUGGAAGCACUUUUGUCUGGAAAAACUGGAGCCCAGAAGGAUGAGAGAAAGAACCUGUUCCCUCCUAUCAAAACAUAUACAAACAAUAUUCCUGGACCAGGAGUCAAACUGA
rnacentral:lncRNA from 1 species